rnacentral:rRNA from 1 species
UAACCGUGGGAAAUCUAGAGCUAAUACAUGCUUGUCACUCUUGGUUUAACGGCCAAGAGGCAUUUAUUAGAUCAAAGCCGCUUUUUGUGUGCUUCGGUGCACAAAAAUACAGGUGAGUCUGGAUAACUGUGCGGAUCGAACUGGCGUAAGCCGUCGACGUUUCAAUCAAAUUUCUGCCCUAUCAACUUGUUGGUAAGGUAGUGGCUUACCAUGGUUGCAACGGGUAACGGGGAAUCAGGGUUCGAUUCCGGAGAGGGAGCCUGAGAAACGGCUACCACAUCCAAGGAAGGCAGCAGGCGCGCAAAUUACCCAAUCCUGACACAGGGAGGUAGUAACGAGAAAUACCAGGCUGGGGCCCUAAGGGUCUCAACUGGAAUGAGCGUAAUUUAAAACCUUCGUCGAAAGCAACCGGAGGGCAAGUCUGGUGCCAGCAGCCGCGGUAAUUCCAGCUCCGGUAGUCUACUCUAAAAUUGCUGCAGUUAAAACGCUCGUAGUUGGAUUAUGAGGUGACUUGGUGUCGCAAGUAAAAAAUGCUAGAUUCCUAGCUGUGCUUGUGUAUCCAGGUUGCCACUUGCUCGUGGGAGCAUUGUGCUACUUUACUGUUAGUGCAAUGUGCCCCGCGUAGUGUGCCUUGAGUAAAAUAGAGUGCUCAAAGCAGGCUUUUGCCUGAAUAUUGAUAGCAUGGAACGAAUAGCCGUGAUGUGUAGUGAAACGAGCAUGGUGAAAGUCAUGUCUUGUUUGGCUGCAUAGCACCGACCACGAUUGGGUUGUUGGUUACCACAAUC